UUGAAAGGUGUCGUUUUCUUCUUAUGUUUUUUGUGACGCUAAACUUCCUGCUAUUUUUCUCUUCACAAUGUGGUGCUCACGCGUCGUCGGAAGAACGGUAAAAAACUGGUAAACACGUUAUUUAUCAUGUUCAUCUAUUUGAAUCUUGUAAAGAAGGAGUUUACAUUGUGAUUUUAUUAUUUUCGUAUCGUUUGUACAUGUUAUUUCUAAGACCUACGAACUGUGAGCGUGUCGAGCUAGAGAGCGUGAUAGCCGAUGGCGAAAACCAUUUGAUUAGCGUCCUUGGAGAGCGGAAUGAGUUUUCACGGUGUUCAUGGUGCAUGGUGCACGUUGAGAGGAAUAAUAAAUCGACACCCGUUUGAAA